GGGGGCAUGGCUCAGUGGUAGAGCAUAUGCUUAGCAUGCAUGAGGUCCUGGAUUCAAUCCCCAGUACCUCCA
rnacentral:tRNA from 1 species